rnacentral:rRNA from 1 species
UACGAAGGGUGCAAGCGUUACUCGGAAUUACUGGGCGUAAAGCGUGCGUAGGCGGUUUGUUAAGUCCGUUGUGAAAGCCCUGGGCUCAACCUGGGAAUUGCAGUGGAUACUGGCGAGCUAGAGUGCGGUAGAGGAUGGUGGAAUUCCCGGUGUAGCGGUGAAAUGCGUAGAGAUCGGGAGGAACACCCGUGGCGAAGGCGGCCAUCUGGACCAGCACUGACGCUGAGGCACGAAAGCGUGGGGAGCAAAAGGG